UACACUUGCAGUGGAUUGUAAUGGAGGCUUCAAACCACAGGCAUGUCACUGUUUGCUGCGAUGCGGCGGUCACUAGGAAAGAGGCGGUGCAAAGGUGGGUUUUUCUCUAUUUCAACUCAUGUUUGGGUUUUUCUCCCUUUCGGUUCUUAUUGAAUUGGGUUCUGAAAUUUCUAGACUAUAAUUUGUGGUGUUAGUUCGAUUAGGGCAAUCAAAAUGGAUGCGAAUUCACAGUUCAUAGUUAUCAUUUCAUCAUAAAUAUUAAGGCUUUUGUAUGAAUUGUGGUGUUGUUGUUUUACGGACUCAUUGGGUUUCUGAGUUUGGGGCUUUUGCUUUGUCAAUAGCUGGGAGCGCUUAUGGUUUUAUUGUUUUGAUUUUCAGAAUUUGGUUUUGGUUUGUGAAUGGAAAGUUUAGGAGUUCAAAAUAACGGGUUUUGGUCUGUUUGAUUGAAGCUUCGGAUGUUCUACUGUGCCUCUUAUGGUUAUUAAUUUUUGGUUAUUGAAAUAGGCAAAAAUUGGGUUAUCUUACUCAGAUUGGUGUUGUAGGCAUUUGGGUAUUUAAAUAUAUUCAUGAAUCAUGACAAUGGCUUCAAUCUACUGUGAAAAUUAUGUUCUCUUUCUGUUGGUCAACUUCGAUAUCUUAUUCUGUGAUGCUUUAUAUUUUAAUGAUCUUCAAGGUUCCAUAUCUUAGGCCUCAUAUAUUGAUUAUGUUUAUCGGCAGUUGCUGAAUAACCUCAUUAGCACGAUGCUAGGAUGUAGCAGUAGCCAUGUUAAAUAUGCAAGUAGUUUUGUUUAUGAUCUAGCACCCAAUUUUUUUAUAUAUUUUCAGGAAUUGCCUAAUCCAGCAAAGGAUAUUUGAACACACAUGCUUGCACAAAAUUCAUUAUCACACAUGCAUGUAUUGUUACUUAUCUUUCAGGAUUUCAGAUCUUAAUCAUAAAAGCAUUUACUAAACUUUGCAGAUAUGACGAUGGAACCAUAAUUCCUUGUCUUUUAUUUUCUUUCCCCAUUCAAAACUCCCUUUUUUAUUCUGAAAUAGAUAGGAGCUUUACUCAUAACUAAAGGAUAGGGAAGACAAUUGAUUCAGGUUCAUGUCAAGGAACUUCAGGAACUUGUCCCAAAUGGUGCCAAGUGCAGCAUUGAUGGCAUUGAGGACUGAACAAUAAAACACAUGAUGUAUUUAAGAAGAAAGACUGACCAAGCUGAAAAAUAUGCACAUCAAGAUCAAGAGUGUAUUGGUACACAGUGGUGAGGUGCAUGGUGGACAUUACUACGCCUUUAGCAGGCCGACACUUUCUAAUUAGUGAUGCAGAAGCACACCACUCUGAAGUCUCUAAGUGCUCAUGUAUACCUUAAUUAUCUUCCUUUUUGUACAUAGUUCUUUUUGUAAGCUUACAUAUACAUGAAUUUGUUGAG